GACGGGCAGACGGAGCCUUUCCUUGGCUCCGACGCGCGCCUUGUCGACUGGGCGCUGACGGGAGUGAAACUCGUUGGGGGCUUCUCUUUUUCUCCUGAUUUCAAUAGCGACUCUCCACCUCUAGGAUCGGCCGGUUACACUGAGUGGCCGACUCAGUCGUCCGCCUGACUCCCAGGUCGGCGGCAACUCCGAAACUCUCCUCGCCUUCGAGUCUACGCACACACAGGCACAAAGAUGCGGACUCUUCUCUUGACCGGUGUCCUGGCCCUGCUUCUCCUGGCUGAUCCGAGCUGGGCGCAACGCAGGAGAGGACAAGGUGCCAACCGCGGUCAGUCCCGCAACCAGUCCCGCAACCAGUCCCGCGCCCAAGGCCAGCCGAGCCAGAGACAGGUAGCCGCGGCCGGGCGCCCCAACUCAGACUGCCA
rnacentral:lncRNA from 1 species